UACGUAGGGACCGAGCGUUGUCCGGAAUCAUUGGGCGUAAAGAGCGUGUAGGCGGCCACUUAAGUCCUGCGUGAAAUCUUGCGGCUCAACCGCAAGCGGUCGUGGGAAACUGGGUGGCUAGAGUGCGGGAGAGGGAGAGUGGAAUUCCUGGUGUAGCGGUGGAAUGCGCAGAUAUCAGGAAGAACACCCGUGGCGAAGGCGGCUCUCUGGAACGCAACUGACGCUGAGGCGCGAAAGCUAGGGGAGCAAACAGG
rnacentral:rRNA from 1 species